rnacentral:rRNA from 1 species
CGCAGGCGGUCUGUUAAGUCAGAUGUGAAAUACACGGGCUUAACCUGGGAACUGCAUUUGAAACUGGCAGGCUUGAGUCUUGUAGAGGGGGGUAGAAUUCCAGGUGUAGCGGUGAAAUGCGUAGAGAUCUGGAGGAAUACCGGUGGCGAAGGCGGCCCCCUGGACAAAGACUGACGCUCAGGUGCGAAAGCGUGGGGAGCAAACAGGAUUAGAUACCCUGGUAGUCCACGCCGUAAACGAUGUCGACUUGGAGGUUGUUCCCUUGAGGAGUGGCUUCCGGAGCUAACGCGUUAAGUCGACCGCCUGGGGAGUACGGCCGCAAGGUUAAAACUCAAAUGAAUUGACGGGGGCCCGCACAAGCGGUGGAGCAUGUGGUUUAAUUCGAUGCAACGCGAAGAACCUUACCUACUCUUGACAUCCAACGAACUUAGCAGAGAUGCUUUGGUGCCUUCGGGAACCCUGAGACAGGUGCUGCAUGGCUGUCGUCAGCUCGUGUUGUGA